AAUAGAUAAUAAGACACUGCUUGGCUGACAGAGAGACGUACCAGACGUAAUGCGCCCGUUGCGAGCUUUUAUACUUCUACCCUUCAAAGUACCUAAACACCAUUGUCUCCAGUACAUGCAGUACAUCGAUACUGUUUUCAUGUAUUUAUUGGCUCCGACGUGGAUCUUGAGUGGUGUCAUAGAAUACGCAGAAGUCAUAAAUAGGGUCAAAACAGCGAGGAGCGACUUGCGUAGAUGGCACCCAGCUUACGGUCAGCGCGCCUUGGUCAGGGGUAUAAUGUCAUUGUACAAAACACUUACUGCUCCAAGAUUUGUGCCGAUAAAGUGUACGAACAAUUUACGUAUAAUAUGUAUCUGCUAGAUAUUGAUGGUAGACGGGCUCGUCUAUAUCCGUAUUAGUUCUUAUAUUUUAAAGUACUUACAUAUACUAUUAUGAAUGAGCUAAGAAAAACUGUUUUGAUAAGGUCUAUCUUAGGUCGGGUGCGCAUCUGUGGCCUGUCUUGUUCUGUGUUGCAGCACCUACAAUAGACUUUGAUUAUUGUUUAUUAAUCAUGUAUUACACUUUACUUUGAGCAAGUUACAGAUUUUACAGACUUAUUAUUGUGUGUUAAUUUUGAAUAUAAAUGUUAUAGGUGCUGGAGCAAUGGGGAGAUUUGAUAAAAAAAAUUAAUGAACAAGUUACGAAUGUUAUAGGCUCAGGCAUAGGAGUAAAGAAGAAGAAAGAAGAUGCUCCAAGUUUUUACUAUAAUUUACGAUAACUUUGUAUUAGUGGUGAAAAGACUGCAGUUUUUACUACAUAGAUGUAAAAUUAAUAUUUAUUAAUUUUGAAAUUAAAUGUUUACAGGUUUAGGAGUGAUGAAGAAGCUGAGGAGUUUUCGAUGAACAAGUUAUAUUUAUCACUCACUACAGUUUUUACUAAGAUUGUUAUAGGUACAAAAGCAGUGGAAAAUUUUUGUGGCAGAUUUAUUAUAAACUAGUAAUAAGUGUAAUAGGUACAAAAAUGGUGAAGUGUGGUGGUCCAAAACUAUGAAGAUUGUAGAAUUUUUCUUAACAAGUAAUUAAGGUACAAAAGUGAUGAAGAUACAGCAUAUUGUACUAUGAAAAAGUUAAGAAUACUUUAGGUAUACAAGAAGGUGAAGAGACUGUUGAUUUAAUAUAAACUAGUUGUAGUUAUGAAUAUAACAGAUACAAGGUGAAAGAGAACGCAGAUUUUACUAUGAACAAUUUAUGAAUGUACUGUUAUAGGUACAAGAGUGGCGAAGAAUUUUUAUUAUUUUCAAGAUAAGAAUUUAAUAGGUUAAAGGUGCAUAAGAGGUGAAGAGACUGUAGAUUUAACUAUGAACUAGUUGUAGUUAUGAAUAUAACAGACACAAGGUGAAGAGAAUGCAGAAUUUACUAUGAACAAUUUAUGAAUGUACUAUUAUAGGUACAAGAGUGGUGAAGUAUUUUUAUUAUUAUCAAGACUUAAUAGGUUAAAGGUGCAUAAGAGGUGAAGAGACUGUAGAUUGAACUAUAAAAUGGUUGUAGUUAUGAAUAUAACAGAUACAGGGUGAAGAGAACGCAGAUUUUACUAUGAACAAUUUAUCAUUGUAUUGUCAUAGUUACAAGAGUAGCGAGGAUUUUUUUUAUUAUUCACAAGAUAAGAAUUUAAUAGGUUAAAGGUGCAUAAGAGGUGAAGAGACUGCAGAUUUAACUAUGAACUAGCUGUAGUUAUGAAUAUAACAGAUACAAGGUGAAGAGAAUGCAGAUUUUACUAUGAACAAUUUAUUACUGUUAUUGGUAGAAGAGUGGUGAAGAAGUAUUUUUAUUAUUUUCAAGAUAAUAAUUUAAUAGGUUAAAGGUGCAUAAGAGGUGAAGAGACCGUAGAUUUAACUAUGAACUAGUUGUAGUUAUGAAUAUAACAGAUACAAGGUGAAGAGAACGCAGAUUUUGCUAUGAACAAUUUAUGAAUGUACUUU